CCUACGGGAGGCAGCAGUGGGGAAUAUUGCGCAAUGGGCGAAAGCCUGACGCAGCGACGCCGCGUGAGGGAUGAAGGUCUUCGGAUCGUAAACCUCUGUCAGAAGGGAAAAAUGUACAGUGCCCCAAUCAACACUGUAUUGAUGCUUGAGAGCCU
rnacentral:rRNA from 1 species